rnacentral:lncRNA from 1 species
AUGGAGCUGACUGUUUCUGUCCUCUACCUUUGCAGAAAGGCAGGAGCUCUCGUCAGAACAGCAUCUACUCGAUUUCUGGAGAGAAAGGCAACGUCACCCCUGACGCCAGCAGCGAGGGCAGGUUCUUCAGCGACCCUUCCGAGAAGGCGGCCGUCACCAUCCAGACCCACUUCAGGAGGUACCAGCAGCAGAAGCAGGAGAAGAAGUAGCUGCCUUGCCCACGCCCUGCACCAUCCCUCCUCUUGUCUGUUGUGUUCCCCAGCCAGAUUUGUGCCCGUGAACCCGCUAGGUAGCUCUUGGUGCAUGCACAGCUGUAGGUGCUCCUGCUGUUGGCUGCGGGUCGGUGGGGUCCUGGUGGCUCCUUCCUUCCCCAAAUAGCACUGCCCCGUGGCCAGGGACCACCAGCAAGGGGCUGUUGGCUGGGACCUCAGCACCCAGCAGCUCUGGCACUUGCCCUUUCCCUGGUGGCAGCACCCCCAGCUGCAGUGGUGGCAGGCCCUGGGGCUGCACAGCUGAGAGCUGUUGUGCCCAGCCAGCUGCCCAGCUGGGGCUCGUUGUGCUCACAACAGCUCCGUGCCUGCACUUUGCAGCUGGAGCUGGGGUUGGAACAUCAGCUUUCUUCCCUGACCCAACACGGUGCCUACGAGCUGGCUGGGAAUGGGGUGCCACCAGGUAAGGGGAGCAGGAGGUGUGCCACGUGCUGGGUGUGAGCUGAUUUUUGCUUUUCUCGGGCAGCACUGGGUGUCCUGGCUUUGGAAUGAGAGGGAGACUGGUUUUUUAGCAGCUAUUUUUGAGUACUGGCUUUCCUAGUGUGCAGAGCUCUCGAGAAAGAGGGAAAAUAAAAACAGAGAUAGGAGGAGCAGGACUGGGCCACCAGGGGAUUGUUUGGGGGGUUGGUGAGGACACUGAGUGUGCUGCUGGCACACGCAGGAGGUGCUCAGAGGGAAGGGUUGGCUGCCCUGUCUCCUGCUGAAGGCAAGGUUUGGCGAGCACUGGCUCGAAGCAGCUCUGUUCCCCAGCGCCUGGCUCAGUGCUGUGCCCAGCUUUGGUGCGUCCCAGGGGAGAGCAAAGCGCAGCGGGUUCAUGGGGAGCAGGGGGCGUGCUGGGGGGGUCAUGCUGGUCACCUGCAGGGAGUUCGGGUUCUGGUAAUGAGCAACACAAAGCCACGGUCUGUAACUGCUGGGGAAGGUGAAGGGGAGAAUUCUUGUGAAGAUGUAGAGGAAAAUCUGUGCUAGCCGAUUACAAUAAAGACAUGUUAAUCUGUUGUUCUUUUUAUCUUGCUAAUCCACUUACUCUCACAGCUGAGAGCACACUUGCCUUUUCUUGCCUCUUCUAUUUAAAGUCUGGGAUUGGCGUUGCAGAGGUGCUGCUUGGUUGCCUCGCUGUAACGCGGCUUUGGGAUGGGGGGGAAGGCUUGGCUCCACGUGAAGUCUGCACCAGGAGAGGGGUUGGAAGUUGAACGUGCACUUGAACUACUCUUGCAGCCUUAGAAACUGUGCUGGUUUGCUUGUCAGCACUUCCCCCUGAUGGUGGGCAGAGCCAGGAGGGGCAGGGCUGUCAGACCCCUCAGGUGGAGGUGCAGCCGGGUGCUUUUUGGGAACCUGCAGACGAAGGAAAGGCCGAGUGCUCGCUGCACGUCUGCCAGCCUCUGGCUCCCUGGGACUGUCCCUUGAUGACACCUUGCAGCAAGCCAAAUAAACUCUUUGAGGUCCUAAGAGACCAUGGUCAGAGCUGCAUAACACGAUCUGCAGCAUUAAAUUGCCCUGCUCACGUUGUGUGUACAAACGUUGGCCAAAAUCCAUGCCCUCCUUGCAUGCUAACUUGGAAAAUUGCCUUUUUUUUUUUUUUUCUGUCUCCAAAAACCUGUUAAAAUUGAAUGAAUAAGAACGUGUAGAAGUAAAUCCUAUUCACAACAGAUCUUGGGAUUAAUAUUAAAAAAUAAAAGAGGUUCUGCAGAAGGCUCCUACCCCCAUUUCAUGCAUGGAGUGUUACCGGAAUGAGCACCAAAACCGCUGAGAAUGGGCACAAGAACUGGUCCUAACAGCUCAUUUUCUGGGCCCCCCAAGAGGAAGCAGCUGCCCGGUUCCUGCCAAGUUUCAGCUUCCCUGGGUUUAAGGAGUUGUUUGACUCUGACAAGCAAGGGGCACGGCAGGGGCUGCUGAGCAGGUGCAGCGACACCAGCAGGGGCUGGGACUGCAAGCUGGGCGCUGAGAUGGAAGCCUCACGGCAGCAGCAAGGCCGGUCACACAGCACAGGUCUGCGCUCACUUAAAAUCAAAGGCUAGUGGAGGUACAAAGUUAAAUCCGUAGCACUUGAAAGAAGCGGUGUUUACCAGUUAUAAUCAAGUGGUUUUGUGUUUUGUUUUGUUGUUUGUUUUCUUUUUUUAAAGGGAGGGUGAAAGAGAAAAAGGUGAGUUAAGGUGGAACCAGGUUCCUCUGUUUGCUGUAAGGAAGAAAUGAGAAACUGGGACCAGAGCGGAACAAGCAUGGAAAAGCGCACAGUUGGUUAAAGUACCGGCUGAUAAAUCAGAGGCACUGAGGAAACAAAGGCAGGCAGCCGAUUAGCCUUAAAAUAGCAGCAGAACCUCCCCAGGAUGGCGAGGUUCUGGUCUGGGGAAGCCCAUUGAUCAGUCUGCUGCUGUUUUUGCCCUCUUGGGCACGGGGAGGCUGCCAGCCCGUCGGGUGGUGGUGCUGAUGUGCUCCUUGCCUCGGCUCCGGCUGCUCUCAUCCUUGCAGGUGCUGGGGCAGGGUGCUGUGCUGUGCUGUGCUCUGGCCACUCCAAGCUGGUGCAGCCAGGCUGUGGGGCACCGUGCUCCACGUCCCCACGAGCUGUGGCCUCGAGGGAGCCGGGCAGGAUUGUGCCAAUGUGCUUCCAUGCGCCCCUGACCUGGCGCAGCGCUGAGCUCCGCCGCACAUCGAUGCUGCACGAGGGGCUCUUGGCUUUGCUUCUUGCCUCGCUGUGCUGCGAUGGGCUCACCACGGUGUGCUGCAUCCACGUGUGUGCUGUGCCACCAUGCCAGGGGAGCUGCUGGUGGCUCGCUGCUCUGUGCUGAGCUGGCCUGUGGCUCCUCGCCGGUGCUGGGGUGCCCUGCUGCGGGGCACCAGCCCGGCACCCUGCUCCCAGCCCUUCCCUGGCUCCGUGGCACCCGGGCUGCUCGCUGUCCCCUUCCCUCCCGCACUGUCCUGUCCCUAGCCCUGUGCCACCAAGCGCUCCUCCGGCCACUUAAGAAACACCCACAUAUAAACAUAACCUUUAUUGCACACAGCGCUGGUUUUUUUUUCAUAGAAAAAGGUAUUAACACAUAAGCAUUUGCAAAUUGAAGCAACUCCUGCUGUUUUCAGAACAGUAAAAUAGCAUGCAAUGUCUUUGAGACGUUCCUUUGUCAAAACCACCGACGAGAUCAGGGAAAAAAAGUCGCUGAGUCUUUCCUUGUGCCCCUUUCAAAAUGAUGUGAAAUAUAUAUAUAUGUUUACAUAUAUAUUAUAUUUUUUUCUUAAUCUGUAACAUCAAAUUCUUUGUGCCCUGGUUUCUUUUUCUGUUUGGAGAAGAAGAAAAUAGUUU